rnacentral:rRNA from 1 species
ACUCCUACGGGAGGCAGCAGUGGGGAAUAUUGGACAAUGGGCGAAAGCCUGAUCCAGCCAUGCCGCGUGAGUGAUGAAGGCCCUAGGGUUGUAAACCCCUUUCGGGAGGGAAGAUGGGACGGGCAACCGUUCGGACGGUACCUCCAGAAGCAGCCACGGCUAACUUCGUGCCAGCAGCCGCGGUAAUACGAAGGUGGCAAGCGUUGUUCGGAUUUACUGGGCGUACAGGGUGCGUAGGCGGUUCGGUAAGCCCUUCGGGAAAACUCCAGGCUCAACCUGGAAAGUUCGGAGGGGACUGCCGGGCUAGAGGACGGGAGAGGAGCGCGGAAUUCCCGGUGUAGCGGUGAAAUGCGUAGAGAUCGGGAGGAAGGCCGGUGGCGAAGGCGGCGCUCUGGAACGUUCCUGACGCUGAGGCACGAAGCGUGGGGAGCAAACAGGAUUAGAUACCCUGGUAGUCCACGCCCUAACUAUGGACACUAAGUGUCGGCGGGUUACCGUCGGUGCCGCAGCUACGCAUUAAGUGUCCCGCUGGGAAGUACGGCGCAGUUGAACUUAAUGAAUUGACGAGGCGAUUCAGC